rnacentral:rRNA from 1 species
GGGGUGAUCACCUUGAUCCCCAAGAUGAAUGGUGCUAAAAAACAACAGUAUCGCCCCAUCUGUCUCCUUAGAUGCCCAUAUAAAUUGAUUACUAAGGUGAUGGAUAAUAGAGUAGCCAUCUUUGCUGACAAACUUAUCAGCAAACACCAAAAUGCUUUCCUAAAGCACAGGAACAACAAGGAUGGGAUCCUUACCCUCCAUGAGGUGCUGCAUACUCGUCAAAAGAAAAAAGUUGGUGUGGUGCUGGAAUUAAAUUUUGAAAAAGCCUAUGAUAAGAUAAACUGGAACUUUCUCCUCAAAUGCCAUAGCAACCGAGGUUUUGGGACAACCUAGUGCAGCUGGGUGAAAAAGAUACUCAGUAAUGGUAUAGUCAGCAUAAAGCUGAAUAAUGAGAUGGGACCUUAUUUUCAAAGUCACAAAGGGGUGCACCAAGGCGACCCCCAUUCCCCUUUCUUGUUUAAUCUUGCUGUGGAAACUCUGUCUAAGAUGAUUCGCAAUGCCCAAAAGGAAAAAAAUGAUAAUUGGACUAGCUCCGGAUCUCAUUGA